AGUGAACGCUGGCGGUAGGCCUAACACAUGCAAGUCGAACGGCAGCACAGUAAGAGCUUGCUCUUACGGGUGGCGAGUGGCGGACGGGUGAGGAAUACAUCGGAAUCUACUUUUUCGUGGGGGAUAACGUAGGGAAACUUACGCUAAUACCGCAUACGACCUACGGGUGAAAGCAGGGGAUCUUCGGACCUUGCGCGAUUGAAUGAGCCGAUGUCGGAUUAGCUAGUUGGCGGGGUAAAGGCCCACCAAGACGACGAUCCGUAGCUGGUCUGAGAGGAUGAUCAGCCACACUGGAACGGAGACACGGUCCAGACUCCUACGGGAGGCAGCAGUGGGGAAUAUUGGACAAUGGGCGCAAGCCUGAUCCAGCCAUACCGCGUGGGUGAAGAAGGCCUUCGGGUUGUAAAGCCCUUUUGUUGGGAAAGAAAAGCAGCAGGUUAAUACCCCGCGGUUCUGACGGUACCCAAAGAAUAAGCACCGGCUAACUUCGUG
rnacentral:rRNA from 1 species